rnacentral:rRNA from 1 species
CAGUCGCCGCGGUAAUACAGAGGGUGCGAGCGUUAAUCGGUUUUACUGGGCGUAAAGCGUGCGUAGGCGGCUUUUUAAGUCGGAUGUGAAAUCCCUGAGCUUAACUUAGGAAUUGCAUUCGAUACUGGGAAGCUAGAGUAUGGGAGAGGAUGGUAGAAUUCCAGGUGUAGCGGUGAAAUGCGUAGAGAUCUGGAGGAAUACCGAUGGCGAAGGCAGCCAUCUGGCCUAAUACUGACGCUGAGGUACGAAAGCAUGGGGAGCAAACAGGAUUAGAUACCCCAGUAGUCCCUGUCUCUUAUAC